rnacentral:lncRNA from 1 species
UGCUCACUAUGAGUAACAAGUUAAGAAAAUGCGCUCACUUGGGGAAAGUAGGAAGAAAGCUUGAGGAGAUGAGCGAAGAAGGGCAGAUGAGUGAAGAAGGGUCAGAUAGAAGAUGCAGGCAGGAAGGAAGCUUGUCAGUGGUCGGAGGAGGACCAGGUGAGUGUGUCACUGAGGAGGCCAAGAAAGUUGAAAUUUUCAAGAUGAGAGAGAAUGGUCAAUGGCGGCCAGUGUCACAAAGAAUCCAAGUAAGGGAAGACCAGAAACAUGUCCACAGGAUUUGGCAGGUGAGCCUUGCCACAGCAAUUUCAGCUAAGUAAUGAGAACAGAAGCCUGGCUGAGAGAGAUUAAGAACGGACUUUACUGGAAGAUGAGAAAGAGCACCAUGAAGCAAAGUGAUAACACAAGGAGAAUGCAGCUCUGUCCUGGAAGGAGGGUUGACGACUGACAGAUGAUACAUGUUGAGUCAAUGGAAUGAGGCAGUUGCAGGCUAUUGUUGGAACAAAAGGAGGUCAAGUUUUAUUCUUUUCUCCUGCUGGGACAGAAGGAGUUGGUCACAACUUUUCUUUAAAAAAAAAGGAAAAGAGGAAUGCAUUCCUAAAUCAAGGCUUCCUGGGGCAGCGAGAACAAUUGCAGCACUCCUCAGCUACACUAUCUCUGUUAGUGGACAAACGCUGCUAACUUUUUAAGCUGAACUUGGAAUCUUCUUGGGCUUGAGCUGUCACUCUAAGAAAGUUCUUUAAAAUGCAGAUUAGCCACAGGCAUCUCAUUUUAUUAAUUUCCUCUUGGAAAUAACAAAAUGGCUAUGAAAAGACAAAACUGUGUACAUUCAUAAGGUUUUAUAUGGAGGUCUGUAGAAUGCAAUGAUCACGAAGUAAGUUUCCUAUCUGUAAAAAUGGCCUUGGAGUUCUUACCAGCUUGCUCUUCAAAACAAAAAAUAAAAAUAAAUAAAUUGUAUCAAAUCCAUCUUGGAGCAGAAGGUAAAUUGGAAAAAUACAAAAAGGCUGAGGAUUAAAUAAAUGCACUUCUUUGAAACAGAUGAUGACAUUUUCUAGGCCCAAUUCAGAUGAUGCAGAGCUUCCUUUUGCAAAGCAGCACGCUACGCAACAAAUGGCCUGACGGGCCUUUGGGUUUAAAUCUCAGCUGACAUCUCUCACCAAGUGUGGAAGAAUGAUUGCAUUAAUUCCCCAGUUCCUUGCUCCUUCCUGUAUCCAGGUUCUGACUACCAUCCCAGCCAUGUUACUUUCUUUGACCAAAGGGAUGUUAUCAAACAUGUCACAAGCAAAGAGAUUAGAAACUGUGAGUUUCCAUUUGUGUCUUUGCCCUCAACGACGGCCAUAAAAAUAUGCCAGAGCUAGUCUACUGAAUGAUGAGAGACAACUGGAACAUAGGUGAGAUCACCUGAUCAUCUCAUCCUAAACAAUCCUAAUCUGCUGACAGUCAGCUGACUUCCAGGCAUGUCAGGGAGCCCAGCUCAGACCAGAAGAACUGCCCAGCUGAGCUCAGCCUAAAUCACUAACCUGCAGACUUGUGAGCUGAAUAAACACUUAUUGUUCCAAGCCA